rnacentral:rRNA from 1 species
UACGAAGGGGGCUAGCGUUGCUCGGAAUCACUGGGCGUAAAGGGUGCGUAGGCGGGUCUUUAAGUCGGUGGUGAAAUCCUGGAGCUCAACUCCAGAACUGCCUUCGAUACUGGGAGUCUCGAGUCCGAGAGAGGUGAGUGGAACUGCGAGUGUAGAGGUGAAAUUCGUAGAUAUUCGCAAGAACACCAGUGGCGAAGGCGGCUCACUGGCUCGGUACUGACGCUGAGGUGCGAAAGCGUGGGGAGCAAACAGG